rnacentral:rRNA from 1 species
GAUGAACGCUAGCUACAGGCUUAACACAUGCAAGUCGAGGGGAAACGGCAUUAAGUGCUUGCACUUUUUGGACGUCGACCGGCGCACGGGUGAGUAACGCGUAUCCAACCUUCCCAUGACUAAGGGAUAACCUGCCGAAAGGCAGACUAAUACCUUAUGGUCUUCACUGACGGCAUCAGAUGUGAAGUAAAGAUUUAUCGGUUAUGGAUGGGGAUGCGUCUGAUUAGCUUGUUGGCGGGGUAACGGCCCACCAAGGCAACGAUCAGUAGGGGUUCUGAGAGGAAGGUCCCCCACAUUGGAACUGAGACACGGUCCAAACUCCUACGGGAGGCAGCAGUGAGGAAUAUUGGUCAAUGGGCGAGAGCCUGAACCAGCCAAGUAGCGUGCAGGAUGACGGCCCUAUGGGUUGUAAACUGCUUUUGUAUGGGGAUAAAGUCAAUCACGUGUGAUUGUUUGCAGGUACUAUACGAAUAAGGACCGGCUAAUUCCGUG